GACGAACGCUGGCGGCGUGCCUAAUACAUGCAAGUCGAGCGGAUCUUUCCUUCGGGGAAGGUUAGCGGCGGACGGGUGAGUAACACGUAGGCAACCUGCCUGUAAGAUCGGGAUAACUCACGGAAACGUGUGCUAAAACCGGAUAGGUGAUUUCUCCGCCUGGAGAGAUCAGGAAAGACGGCGCAAGCUGUCACUUACAGAUGGGCCUGCGGCGCAUUAGCUAGUUGGUGAGGUAACGGCUCACCAAGGCGACGAUGCGUAGCCGACCUGAGAGGGUGAACGGCCACACUGGGACUGAGACACGGCCCAGACUCCUACGGGAGGCAGCAGUAGGGAAUCUUCGGCAAUGGACGAAAGUCUGACCGAGCAACGCCGCGUGAGUGAUGAAGGUUUUCGGAUCGUAAAACUCUGUUGCCAGGGAAGAAGGAUGGGGAGAGUAACUGCUCUUCAUUUGACGGUACCUGAGAAGAAAGCCCCGGCUAACUACGUGCCAGCCGCCGCCGUAACAC
rnacentral:rRNA from 1 species